CCUACGCGCGACAGCAGUGGGGAAUAUUUCACAAUGGGGGAAACCCUGAUGCAGCGACGCCGCGUGAGUGAAGGAGUAUUUCGGUAUGUAAAGCUCUAUCAGCAGGGAAGAAAAUGACGGUACCUGAUUAAGAAGCCCCGGCUAACUACGUGCCAGCAGCCGCGGUAAUACGUAGGGGGCAAGCGUUAUCCGGAUUUACUGGGUGUAAAGGGAGCGUAGACGGCAGCAGAAGUCUGGAGUGAAAUGCCGGGGCUUAACCCCGGCACUGCUUUGGAAACUGUGCAUCUAGAGUGCAGGAGAGGUAAGCGGAAUUCCUAGUGUAGCGGUGAAAUGCGUAGAUAUUAGGAGGAACACCAGUGGCGAAGGCGGGUUACUGGACUGUAACUGACGUUGAGGCUCGAAAGCGUGGGGAGCAAACAGGAUUAGAUACCCUAGUAGUC
rnacentral:rRNA from 1 species